CAAGUCGAACGAACCUUUCGGGGUUAGUGGCGGACGGGUGAGUAACGCGUGAGAAUCUGCCCUCAGGAGGGGGAUAACGACUGGAAACGGUCGCUAAUACCCCAUAUGCCGAGAGGUGAAAUGAAUUUCGCCUGAGGAUGAGCUCGCGUCUGAUUAGCUAGUUGGUGGGGUAAAGGCCUACCAAGGCGACGAUCAGUAGCUGGUCUGAGAGGAUGAUCAGCCACACUGGGACUGAGACACGGCCCAGACUCCUGCGGGAGGCAGCAGUGGGGAAUUUUCCGCAAUGGGCGAAAGCCUGACGGAGCAACGCCGCGUGAGGGAUGAAGGCCUCUGGGCUGUAAACCUCUUUUCUCAAGGAAGAAGAUCUGACGGUACUUGAGGAAUAAGCCACGGCUAAUUCCGUGCCAGCAGCCGCGGUAAUACGGGAGUGGCAAGCGUUAUCCGGAAUUAUUGGGCGUAAAGCGUCCGCAGGCGGCCUUGUAAGUCUGUCGUUAAAGCGUGGAGCUUAACUCCAUUUCAGCGGUGGAAACUACAAGGCUUGAGUGUGGUAGGGGCAGAGGGAAUUCCCGGUGUAGCGGUGAAAUGCGUAGAUAUCGGGAAGAACACCAGUGGCGAAGGCGCUCUGCUGGGCCAUAACUGACGCUCAUGGACGAAAGCCAGGGGAGCGAAAGGGAUUAGAUACCCCUGUAGUCCUGCCGUAAACGAUGAACACUAGGCGUCGGGGGAAUCGACCCCCUCGGUGUCGUAGCCAACGCGUUAAGUGUUCCGCCUGGGGAGUACGCACGCAAGUGUGAAACUCAAAGGAAUUGACGG
rnacentral:rRNA from 1 species